UACUAGCAUAUGUUAACGUUGCUGCAGUUAAAACGCUCGUAGUUGGGGUUUGGGGCUGAACGGAACGAUUUCGAAAGAAAUUGCGAAGGACGGCCUUUUGUGUGGUACAACUUGUUAAUUCAAGUUGCGCCGGUAAACCUUGAAAAAAUAUUAACGCUCAAACUUGGACUUUGGUUCCAGUUCUUUCUGCAUGGGAUUUUAGAAUACGUGCUGGCUCCACAAAAGCUGGCAAAUGACCUUUGAGGAUGAUAGUGGCAGUUCAUAUUGAGAUGUCAGAGGUGAAAUUCUUGGAUUAUCUUAAGAUGGACUGAUGCGAAAGCGUUCUGCAAUAGCUUUCCUGUCAA
rnacentral:rRNA from 1 species